rnacentral:other from 1 species
UCGUCCCUGGAGUGUGCGUGAUUCGCAUAUCGGCGCUAGCCUGACAAAGCAUAUCGCAAAGGGAGCUGUUCAGGCAUCCGGUGCGCAUGCCCGCUGUCAGCGGGAAGCCUGAUGGCUGCCCAAUGGUUCCCGACCUGGACAACCAGGUUCUGUGCCGCUGGCUGGACACGGCUCUCUGGGGCAAUC